rnacentral:rRNA from 1 species
UACGGAGGGUGCGAGCGUUGGCUGGAAUCACUGGGUUUAAAGGGUGCGUCGGCGGCUCGGUAAGUCAGUUGUGAAAGCCCCUUGCUUAACGAGGGAGGUGCGAUUGGUACUGUCGAGCUUGAAUCGGGAUGAGGCAGGCGGAAUGUGGCAUGUAGCGGUGAAAUGCAUAGAUAUGCCAUAGAACACCGAUUGCGAAGGCAGCCUGCUGGGCCUGUAUUGACGGUGAGGCACGAGAGCGUGGGGAGCAAACAGG